CCUACGGGUGGCAGCAGUGGGGGAUAUUGCACAAUGGGCGAAACCCUGAUGCAGCGACGCCGCGUGUGGGAAGACGGUCCUCUGGAUUGUAAACCACUUUCCCCAGGGACGAAGAUGACGGUGCCUGGGGAGGAAGCUCUGGCUCACUACGUGCCAGCAGCCGAGGUAAUACGUAGGGACCGAGGGUUGUCGGGAAUUCGUGGGUGGACAGGAAGGGUAGGGGGGGAUGCAGGUUGGGGGGAAAUACUACGGGGUAAACUGGGUGUCGCAGUCGAAACUGGAGCGCUUGAGUGAAGUAGAGGCAGGCGGAAUGCGUGGUGUAGCGGUGAAAUGCGUAGAUAUUAGGAGGAACACCGGUGGCGAAGGCAGCCGGCGGGGCUGUUACUGACGCUGAGGCUCGAAAGUGUGGGUAGCGAACAGGAUUAGAUACCCCUGUAGUC
rnacentral:rRNA from 1 species